GAAAACAACUUGAUCAACGGAAAAUGUGUCAAUGUAAAAUAAGUCAUUUUUCUUGUAAAAUGACUUGUCCCUUUAGAAAGCGGGAAGCAAUUGAGAGUUGUCAAUGAAGGAAUGGUAUAUGGAGACGAGGACCUCGUUCAACUAAUUUUAUACAAACUCCAACCGAAGGAAACUAAAGUUGCUGUAGUUGCUGCAACUAAUUCCUAAAGUAAAAUGGGAAAUUUUGUUGAGAAAAAAAAGAUGUACUAAAAUUUGUUUUUUUAUUAUAAAAUUAACCUAAAAAUUUUGAUUAAUUAUAAAAAUAUUUAUUUUAUAAUUAUGUACGUAAUUGAUCUAAAAUAAAUAGUGAAAGUUUGUGGAGUUAAAAA